rnacentral:snRNA from 1 species
AGUUAAUAUCGUGUGGGCCG